rnacentral:lncRNA from 1 species
AGCAGCUAAAUUUUUAUAUAAUACUUAGUAUCUGGAGAUUAAAAUGUAAUGGUUAUAAAGAUUAAACUGCUUCUCCUAAAUAUUUUUAGAUCUUUGUUUUCAAUAGUGCUUCUCCAAAAAGCAUAACUAGUCAAUGAAUAGUUUAGCAUAGUCCAUAGCAAUGAUUCAGUCCAUUUCUCCAAGAAAUUUUUUUAGCAGUUUCUCUUUCAAAAAUCAUAAAUUUCCUUUUUGUACUUCCAGAGAGCUUGUGCACAAGUGGUGUCCAUUCCAUUAGUUAGAAAUGCUCAGCCUGUUUAUCAAUGGAUUUGAAAAAAUAUUCAUUGUUCAAAUAAAAGUAAAUGUAACUUCAAAAUACAUCAAUGUACUUACUGCCCUUAUUCAACUGUUCAAAUUGGGCAUUUUAAUCAGCAUAUUAGAGUUCACACUGGAGAACGCCCGUUCACUUGUGAGACGUGUGGAAUGUGUUUUAAACGUAAAGAACAUUGGCGAAAUCACCAGGUUAGAGUUCAUACUGGAGAGCACAUUUUUACUUGUAACACGUGUGGGAAAUCCUUUAAGCGUAAAGGACAUUGGCAAAAUCACCAAAUGACUCACUUGAACACAUGAAAAUUUUAUGAAAGGCAUUUUUUAUUUUCUAACGUUUUCACGCUAUGAUCAAUAUCCUGAAAGAAUUGUUGGUCGACAGAAGAAAAAAAUUGCCAAAGUUUAUAAUUGUGCAAACUGUUCGUACUCUAGCAAGUUAUUGGGUAAUCUUAAGCAGCACCUUUUAACUCACACAGGACAAAGACCAUUUGAAUGUAAACAUUGUGGAAAACGUUUCAGACGAAAAGCACAUUGUCAAACACAUGAGAUCACUCAUUUAUCUUUAAAUCUAAUUUGAGUGUUCACGCUCAAUUCGAUCAAUUGUGUUCAAAAGAAUGAUAAAGUAGCAAUUUUGUUCUUUUUUUUAAUUGGUGUCUUUUUUGUCUAACUUUUUUUAAAAUUAAAUGGAAUUUAAAUUUUUUAUUUUAUUGUAAAAAAAAAGUCAUGUUACAUAUGCACCAUUUGCUUUAAUAAUUCAUUUAAAAAAUUUCUUUAUCAGAGUUUGUCAAAUUGAUUUUUUAGUUAUCUGUUUCGUACUAGAAGUUGAAUUAAAUGUAAAAAAAAUAACUGAUUUCAAAGUUAAGUAUUAAAUUGUAUAUCUGGCAGCGGUCACAAAACUGGAUUCCCACUGGUCAAAAGAAAUCUUUAUUACAUUUUUUUUCUUUUAAAACUAUUGAAUAUCCUAUCAUAGAGUUAAUAGUAACAGUAAGUAGUCAUUGUGAUUAAAGUUAUUUAAUUUUAAGAUUUAUUACUACUAUUCCAUUUGGCAAUGGAAAUUUUAUAGCAGACCUUCACUUAGUGAUUAUUUUGUAUCGCUAUAAAAUGUCUAAUAUUUAAUGAAAACCUUGCUUUAUGAGGAAGAUUUGAUUUCUGUAGCCGAUUUUUUUUAGCCUUCAUGACCCUCUUGGCUAACAACAAAAAUUUUUUCAUUUUUUUUGGUGGCAGUUAAUUAUUUUCACUUUUUUUAUGCAUAAUCAGAUGUUCAAAUGUACAUAAUCAAACAAGGAACUUAUAUUCAACUGUUUUGUUUAUUAUAAACAAUUGUAUACAGUUAAAUUAAUUUGGGGAAAAAAUUAUUCUAGUAUGUGUAGUGUGCAAAACAAAAUCCAAAAUUUAAAUGGAAUCUGUCAAGUAGAUCUUGUUAUUAAUUGUAUGAUUGAUAAUUAAAUGCGAAAUUUAUAUUCAAUUAUAUUGUUUAUUGAAAAUAGGUGUAUGCAAAACAAAACCAAAAAUUUAAAUGGAAUCAGUCAAAUAGAUCUUGUUAUUAUUGAUAUGAUUGAUAAUUAAAUGAGAAAUUUAUAUUGUUUAUUGAAAAUAGGUGUAUACAGUUCAACUAAUUAGGUAAAGAAUUAGUUAGGUAUUUCUAGUAUACAUUGUGUACAGUGUGCAAGACAAAAUUUAAAAUUAAAACAGAAUCAGUCAAAUAGAUCUUGGGGAAUGCCAAUAUUUAGUCAAUUUUUCUCAAAUGUUUUAUUUAGUCAUUUUGCAUAACAUAUAUUAAAAUUUAGUAAAUGUUUGUGCAGCUUAAAAUUCAAAAAGUUUUUGACCAUUAUUAAAAUAAAUAAUGAAUAAAACUAAUUAAUCAUAAAAAUAUUUUUUAUGCAGAAUUAUCUUUUGAUGAACGAGUUUAUAAUUGUAUGCAAAAGUUUUCUAAUUUUCUUAAAUAGUUCUAGAGAUUUUGGUGAAAUAUGCAAAAAAGUGAAAUCCCUUCAGAGACUGCAACUAUCUGCUGCUCUCCUGCCUAAAUUGUAACCAUAUUUUUUAGAUUGUUGCUACCUUAAAGUAUCAUUUGCAUAAAUUUAUUGUCACAUUGAUAGUCAAAAACAUUUUAGUACAUGAGAAUUCAAAUAUUAAAUCAAAAGUUAUUAAGAAUUUUUUUAAUGUUCUACACAUUAUAUAUUUUACAUACUUAUUAUCAGUUUGGUGCUUCUUUAAACUCCACUUUUAUGGUUUCCCAAAGAUUUAAGUGGGAAGAAUACUCCCACCUCAUUCUUCCCAUUUAAGUGGCUGUCCAUAAUGCAUGACAUAAAGUAGUUUGAAUCAGAUCUUUUAAGCAUAAAAAUAACAUUUUAAAACCUUGGAAAUUAUAAGAUAACUAUAAUUAAUAAUUAUUUUAAUCAUCUGUUAAUUUUCUUUAUUAUCAUUUUGUCAUUUCUUAAUAAAUGUUGGUCGUUUUCUAUUUGUUAAUACUUUGAUAUCACAUAAUCCAUUGUUCUAUAGUUUUUAUUUAAUGUCAAAGAAAACCUUAUUUUUUCUAUGAUUUUUAUUUAUUAACUAUUUCGCCAAUCUUGUCGACGUUUAGAGUAUUUUAAUGGUAAUACUUAUUUUUAGUUUUUAGAUGGAGAUUACACUGUUAUGUUUUAACUGGAUUUUGUUGUUAUGUAGAUUUGUUUUAUUUAUCAUAUCCCUUGUUGCAAUGUUUGUUGAUAUAAAAUUUUAAUUCAUAAAAUUAUUUUUUAAAAAAUGAAAGCAAUGGCUAGGAUGAAAUGUAAUAGCUUUCGGAUGUAUAUUAUUUUAAGAAAUAAAGAUAUAAAAAUUUCACACCCUU